rnacentral:lncRNA from 12 species
UGCCGCAAUGAAGUCCAAAGACAACAAUCAGGCAUAGAUCUGCUGUGCAUCUUCCACAUUACCAAUAUCCCUAAGUGGGUCAGUGUAGCAGGGUGCCUGCUGGCCAUAACAUUUUGACUAUAGCUCACUCCUGGAUACCAUACUCAUUGCAGCCAUGGAUACUCUUCCAACAGCUCCAGCAAUAGCAAUUGUGCCACCAUUUUGAAUUAAAAUGCCAUCUUCUGAUUCAGAUACAACUCCAAUGUCUGUGACAUCCUCUGCCUCCUUUAUGGAUCACCAUCCUGGUCAACUUCUUGCAACUCAGGACUCACUGGCCAUCACUAAGCCCAGCCUCACCACCCCACCCACACUGUUACCGUCAGCACCAACCACUUGGUGGGAGACCUUCAAUUAAUGGAGAAACCAGAUACAUAGGGAACCUGAUGAAGCAGUGGAAACCCUCACUUCAAUCUCCACAAGAAUUGAUGACAGCUGUGAAUUCUGCAGUUACACCAGAUUUACCAGGUGCUUGACAGUGCUAUGCAGGCUUGUACCCAGGUUCUUUAUGAUAGUGAUCUUUCCUUGGAAAUGUGGACAUUUCUCAUGGCAGCAGAACCGGCAUCCAAGCUACAUUAUGCUUCAACUUCUACACACUGUUGGAUUCAAGCAUGGCACCUACAUGAGCACUCUGUGGGGCUGCGGGUUCCCUGGAGAGUCCUAUAGGCUCUGAGCCUUCCUCCUUGGUUGACAUUCUAGCCUUUCUUUGGGUGUCUUUUUGGUGCCAGCUUUUAUAGAGCAGUAACACUUCUCUGUCUGCAUUCUGUUCCAGACAAGUGCCCACAGGGGAGAAACCCUUCCCUGGCCAGACUCUUCCCUGUAUGGCUUCUCACAGAACACUGACACUUUUCUAACCCAUAGUUUCUAUAGGGGAUUAACACUGUUACAUCUGGACUAUUCCCUGAGGAUGCUCUGGAACUUCCAAUGUCAAAAAUGCUACCUAGAGAGCAGUCCCCAUCUGGGACUCCAGGUGUUUUUAUGUGUAGGUAUGAUGGAUCUUCUUCCUGUAAGCUUUGGACUAUAUGAUGGACCUAUAUUAUUAAGUGAUUAAAAUUGCAAUGGCAACUUUGGGGAUCCUUUGAAAUUCUAAAAGUUGGGGAUCCCCGGGUGGCUCGGCGGUUUGGCGCCUGCCUUUGACCUGGGGCGCGAUCCUGGAGUCCCGGGAUCAAGUCCCGCGUCGGGCUACCGGCAUGGAGCCUGCUUCUCCCUCUGCCUGUGUCUCUGCCUCUCUCUCUCUGUCUAUCAUGAAUAAAUAAAUAAAUCUUUGAAAUUCUAACA